CAGCCAUGCCGCGUGUGUGAAGAAGGCCUUAUGGUUGUAAAGCACUUUAAGCGAGGAGGAGGCUCUUUUGGUUAAUACCCAAGAUGAGUGGACGUUACUCGCAGAAUAAGCACCGGCUAACUCUGUGCCAGCAGCCGCGGUAAUACGUAGGUGGCAAGCGUUGUCCGGAUUUACUGGGCGUAAAGAGUAUGUAGGCGGACAUUUAAGUCAGAUGUGAAAUCCCCGGGCUUAACCUGGGAGCUGCAUUUGAUACUGGGUGUCUAGAGUGUAGGAGAGGAAAGUGGAAUUCCUAGUGUAGCGGUGAAAUGCGUAGAGAUUAGGAAGAACACCAGUGGCGAAGGCGACUUUCUGGACUAUAACUGACGCUGAGAUACGAAAGCGUGGGGAGCAAACA
rnacentral:rRNA from 1 species